rnacentral:rRNA from 1 species
CCCGACUGCUAUUUGGGUGAGGAUAAGCCAUGCGAGUUGGAUGGGAUACCUAAACUUCCCAUAGCAAACUGCUUAGUAACACAUGAUCAACUUGCCCUAUGGAGAAAAAUAACCUCGGGAAACUGAGGAUAAUGUUUCAUAGUUGAAUAGGCUUGGAAAAGUUUUUCAAUGAAAGGAAUAAGAUAAAUGGAUCUUAUUUGCCAUAGGAUAGGAUCGUGGUCGAUUAUGGUAGUUGGUGAGAUAACGGCUCACCAAGCCGAUAAUCGAUAGGGGCCGUGAGAGCGGGAGCCCCAAGAUGGGUACUGAGACAGCGACCCAGGCCUUACGAGGCGCAGCAGGCGCGAGACCUCCGCAAUACACGAAAGUGUGACGGGGUUACCCAAAGUGUUCUCUUAAGAACUGUGGCAGGUGAGUAAUGUCCCCUGCUAGAAAGGAGAGGGCAAGGCUGGUGCCAGCCGCCGCGGUAAAACCAGCUCUUCAAGUGGUCGGGAUAAUUAUUGGGCUUAAAGUGUCCGUAGCCGGUUUAGUAAGUUCCUGGUAAAAUCGGGUAGCUUAACUAUCUGCAUGCUAGGAAUACUGCUAUACUAGAGGGCGGGAGAGGUCUGAGGUACUACAGGGGUAGGGGUGAAAUCUUAUAAUCCUUGUAGGACCACCAGUGGCGAAGGCGUCAGACUGGAACGCGCCUGACGGUGAGGGACGAAAGCCAGGGGAGCGAACCGGAUUAGAUACGUCGGUGCUAGAAUAAUAAAAUAACUAACACCAUGCUAAAAACCCGGGUAGUCCUGGCCGUAAACGAUGCAUACUAGGUGAUGGUACGGCCAUGAGCCGUAUCAGUGCCGUAGGGAAACCGUUAAGUGUGCCGCCUGGGAAGUACGGUCGCAAGGCUAAAACUUAAAGGAAUUGGCGGGGGAGCACCACAAGGGGUGAAGCCUGCGGUUCAAUUGGACUCAACGCCGGGAAACUUACCAGGGGAGACAGUAGAAUGAGGGUCAGGUUGACGACCUUACCUGAUGAGCUGAGAGGAGGUGCAUGGCCGUCGCCAGUUCGUGCCGUGAGGUAUCCUGUUAAGUCAGGCAACGAACGAGAUCCGCGCCUUUAUUUGCCAACAAGAAG